AACUCAAAGGAAUUGACGGGGACCCGCACAAGCGGUGGAGCACGUGGUUUAAUUCGAAGCAACGCGAAGAACCUUACCAAGUCUUGACAUCCCCCUGACCGCACCUUAACCGGUGCCUUCCUUCGGGACAGGGGAGACAGGUGGUGCAUGGUUGUCGUCAGCUCGUGUCGUGAGAUGUUGGGUUAAGUCCCGCAACGAGCGCAACCCCUAUCCUUAGUAGCCAGCGGUUCGGCCGGGCACUCUGAGGAGACUGCCAGGGAUAACCUGGAGGAAGGCGGGGAUGACGUCAAAUCAUCAUGCCCCUUAUGAUUUGGGCUACACACGUGCUACAAUGGCGUAAACAAAGGGAAGCGAGAGGGUGACCUGGAGCAAAUCCCAAAAAUAACGUCCCAGUUCGGACUGUAGUCUGCAACCCGACUACACGAAGCUGGAAUCGCUAGUAAUCGCGGAUCAGAAUGCCGCGGUGAAUACGUUCCCGGGUCUUGUACACACCGCCCGUC
rnacentral:rRNA from 1 species